GAUGAACGCUGGCGGCGUGCCUAAUACAUGCAAGUAGAACGCUGAAGCUUGGUGCUUGCACCGAGCGGAUGAGUUGCGAACGGGUGAGUAACGCGUAGGUAACCUGUCUCUUAGCGGGGGAUAACUAUUGGAAACGAUAGCUAAUACCGCAUAAAAGUCGAUAUCGCAUGAUAUUGAUUUGAAAGGUGCAAGUGCAUCACUAAGAGAUGGACCUGCGUUGUAUUAGCUAGUUGGUGAGGUAACGGCUCACCAAGGCGACGAUACAUAGCCGACCUGAGAGGGUGAUCGGCCACACUGGGACUGAGACACGGCCCAGACUCCUACGGGAGGCAGCAGUAGGGAAUCUUCGGCAAUGGGGGCAACCCUGACCGAGCAACGCCGCGUGAGUGAAGAAGGUUUUCGGAUCGUAAAGCUCUGUUGUAAGAGAAGAACGAGUGUGAGAGUGGAAAGUUCACACUGUGACGGUAACUUACCAGAAAGGGACGGCUAACUACGUG
rnacentral:rRNA from 1 species